CCUUGUUUUACUGGAGGAGAAAGUGGGGCACAGAGAAAUUCAGUUAUUGGUCCGAGGUCACACAGCGUGUGAGUCGGGAAGGAAGGGGCAGCUGGAAUUUGAACCUGGCAGUCUGGCUUCCCUCUGGGGAAGAGCAGUGGAUGAGGGCGAAGCCGACAAGAGCCCAAACUCAUCUGCGCUGCGCUGCUUUUGAGCCACACAAAUCCAAAUAAGGGAUCAUCCAAAUCCUUUAUUUUCUCUCGAAGUUUUGUGAUCAUUAAUCAGUUAACAGCUUGUUCCCUUCUGUGCUGGACAACCCCCAGCUGCAAGGGGCAGGAAUGGAGCAUGGGGGAGGCUGUAAAAUAGAUCACUCAGGAGUUUGUGAGCAGCUGGGCAACAUAGUGAGACCCUGUCUCUAAAAGAAAAAAAA
rnacentral:lncRNA from 1 species